UUUUAUGAGAGUUUGAUCCUGGCUCAGGACGAACGCUGGCGGCGUGCCUAAUACAUGCAAGUAGAACGCUGAAAUCUGGUGCUUGCACUAGACGG
rnacentral:rRNA from 1 species